rnacentral:rRNA from 1 species
CAGUCGCCACGGGAACACGUAGGGAGCAAGCGUUAAUCGGAAUUACUGGGCGUAAAGCGUGCGCAGGCGGUCCGCUAAGACAGAUGUGAAAUCCCCGAGCUUAACCUGGGAACUGCAUUUGUGACUGGCGGGCUAGAGUAUGGCAGAGGGGGGUAGAAUUCCACGUGUAGCAGUGAAAUGCGUAGAUAUGCGGAGGAACACCGAUGGCGAAGGCAAUCCCCUGGGCCUGCACUGACGCUCAUGCACGAAAGCGUGGGGAGCAAACAGGAUUAGAUACCCCCGUAGUCCCUGUCUCUUAUAC